rnacentral:rRNA from 1 species
CGGACGGGUGAGUAAUGUCUGGGAAACUGCCUGAUGGAGGGGGAUAACUACUGGAAACGGUAGCUAAUACCGCAUAACGUCGCAAGACCAAAGAGGGGGACCUUCGGGCCUCUUGCCAUCGGAUGUGCCCAGAUGGGAUUAGCUAGUAGGUGGGGUAAAGGCUCACCUAGGCGACGAUCCCUAGCUGGUCUGAGAGGGUGACCAGCCACACUGGAACUGAGACACGGUCCAG